AUUGAACGCUGGCGGCAUGCCUUACACAUGCAAGUCGAACGGCAGCACGGGAGCAAUCCUGGUGGCGAGUGGCGAACGGGUGAGUAAUAUAUCGGAACGUGCCCAGUCGUGGGGGAUAACGCAGCGAAAGCUGUGCUAAUACCGCAUACGAUCUACGGAUGAAAGCGGGGGAUCGCAAGACCUCGCGCGAUUGGACCGGCCGAUAUCAGAUUAGCUAGUUGGUGGGGUAAAGGCCCACCAAGGCGACGAUCUGUAGCUGGUCUGAGAGGACGACCAGCCACACUGGAACUGAGACACGGUCCAGACUCCUACGGGAGGCAGCAGUGGGGGAUUUUGGACAAUGGGCGCAAGCCUAAUCCAGCAAUGCCGCGUGCAGGAUGAAGGCCUUCGGGUUGUAAACUGCUUUUGUACGGAACGAAACGGCCCUUUCUAAUACAGGGGGCUAAUGACGGUACCGUAAGAAUAAGCACCGGCUAACUACGUGCCAGCCGCCGCCGUAA
rnacentral:rRNA from 1 species